UGCCGAUAGAAAUACCUGCUUUAUUGUCCCUGGCUGGGCGCGGUGACAUUCAGCGCUGGUGCUGGCAGGUCAGCGGGCAACGGAGCACAGGCUCGAGGCAAUGGGGGGGGCCCUGCUGCCAGGGGUCAGUGCUGCAGGCAGGGGCGGGAUCAGGGGCUCCGGGCAGGACCCGCUGUGGGUGCAGCAGGGGGAUUGGAGGGUGGCUGGUCGCCCUAGCUCAGUGGGGGGGGGCCUGCCACUCACACCCAAGGGGGCCAGAGAGGGGUUAGCACCAGAUAUGGGCCCCGCAGCUGGGCUGGGACUCCAGGCUCUGCCGGCAGUGGGCUCAAGGUUAGCGUCUGACCAGAGUGCAGGCUGCAGGGCUGGGGCUCUGAUGCCCCCCGCCCCCGGGACCUAUUACUGGCUACCUCACACCGGGUGGGGAGGGGGUCAGACAGCAGCUUCAGUGACAGCGGGAACGCAGAGCCCAGCGUCCCAGCAGGGGAGCAGGGCAGGGUGCUGGCUGGGGGGGGCACUGCCAGGUUUAACGGUGCAGAUGACGCCCAUGGUGACAGGGCUGGUCCUUGCCCCUGCUGUUGCAGCCCCAGGGCAGCUGAGGGCAGAGUCUUCGGGGCCGGGUGGGAUCCCAGGGUCUGUCUCCAGGUGCAGGGAGCUGGGGGUGUCUGUUGUCACCCUGAGCCGUCUCCCCGCUGCGCCGGGAGGGUUAGCAAGAGCUCGGAGGGGGUGCAGUCUGGUGUGUUUCAGGCGGGGUUUGCAUAUGUCCUGGGCCAGACCCAGUGGCACGACAGAUGGACACAGCAGAGCCCUGCCCGCAGGUCCCUCUGGCUCCCUGCCCUGCGAGCCGGAGACGGCCAGAGCCCUCAGCAGAGCACACACACACCUUGAGCUACACACACACAGACACACCCAUGAGGUACACAUGCAUGUACAUACAUACACCUCACACACACUCUGAGGUACACCCCCCAAGGUCCACACGCACACACACAGGUACACCCCCUCCCCC
rnacentral:lncRNA from 1 species